UGAACGCUGGCGGCAGGCCUAACACAUGCAAGUCGAGCGAGAAAGCACUUCGGUGUGAGUACAGCGGCGGACGGGUGAGUAACGCGUAGGAAUCUACCCAGUAGUGGGGGACAACAGUCGGAAACGGCUGCUAAUACCGCAUACGCCCUAUGGGGGAAAGCGGGGGAUCUUCGGACCUCGCGCUAUUGGAUGAGCCUGCGCCGGAUUAGCUAGUUGGUGGGGUAAAAGCCUACCAAGGCGACGAUCCGUAGCUGGUCUGAGAGGAUGAUCAGCCACACUGGAACUGAGACACGGUCCAGACUCCUACGGGAGGCAGCAGUGGGGAAUAUUGCGCAAUGGGGGAAACCCUGACGCAGCCAUGCCGCGUGUGUGAAGAAGGCCUUAGGGUUGUAAAGCACUUUCAAUUGGGAGGAAAAGCUGCAGGAUAAUACCCUGUAGCCGUGACGUUACCUUUAGAAGAAGCACCGGCUAACUCCGUGCCAGCAGCCGCGGUAAU
rnacentral:rRNA from 1 species